GACGAACGCUGGCGGCGUGCCUAAUACAUGCAAGUCGAACGCAGUGGGGACGGGGGAGUAACACGUGGGUAACCUCCCAUCAGAGGGGAUAACACUUGGAAACAGGUGCUAAACCGAUACUGAUGGAUGGACCCGCGGUGCAUUAGCUUGUUGGUGAGGUAACGGCUCACCAAGGCCACGCUGCAUAGGCGCCCUACGAGAGUGAUCCGCCAACCGGGGAUUUAGACACGGCCCAGGCUCCUACGGGAGGCAGCAGUAGGGAAUCUUCGGCAAUGGACGAAAGUCUGACCGAGCAACGCCGCGUGAGUGAAGAAGGUUUUCGGAUCGUAAAACUCUGUUGUUAGAGAAGCGGUAUCUAACCAGAAAGCCACGGCUAACUACGUGCCAGCAGCCGCGGUAAUUC
rnacentral:rRNA from 1 species